UCUAACAGUUCCAAAUUGUUUCCAUAGGCCCAAGCAAUGAAUGUUGUUGUAAAUCAGGAAAGCGAUCGUCGGAAUCUUGAUAAAUUAUCUACUUUACCGGAUUGCGUUACACACAGACAAAUCCUCAAGAAUCCGACUUGUUCUUACAUUCGAAGUAUUAUAACGGGUAAUAACAUCCUCGAAAAGAUACAGGAGAUAUAAGAGCAACGCUUAACGAACAAUAAAAGGAAAGAGUCUCUCUCUCUCUCUCUCUCUACACUCGCGCACACACGGUCUCUCAACUUUGAAAUGGUCAAGUUAAUUGAGACACUCUGUAUAAUCGAUAUAUUUUAUUCUUGUACUACAAGUGAAUAGUUUUAGAUAGUUAUAAAUAUUGAGUAGAUAAUAAAAUAAUGUACUGUAGUUUA